UGGGGAAUAUUGGACAAUGGGCGCAAGCCUGAUCCAGCCAUGCCGCGUGGAUGAUGAAGGCCCUAGGGUUGUAAAGUCCUUUCGGCGGGGAAGAUAAUGACGGUACCCGCAGAAGAAGCCCCGGCUAACUUCGUGCCAGCAGCCGCGGUAAUACGAAGGGGGCUAGCGUUGCCCGGAAUCACUGGGCGUAAAGCGCACGUAGGCGGCUUUCUAAGUCGGUGGUGAAAUCCUGGAGCUCAACUCCAGAACUGCCUCCGAUACUGGAGAGCUCGAGUCCGGGAGAGGUGAGUGGAACUGCGAGUGUAAAGGUGAAAUUCGUAGAUAUUCGCAAGAACACCAGUGGCGAAGGCGGCUCACUGGCCCGGUACUGACGCUGAGGUGCGAAAGCGUGGGGAGCAAACA
rnacentral:rRNA from 1 species